AUAGAACAAGAGACAACAAGGCUUCCCGUCCCCUCAGCCUUAUUCAAGCAAGAUACAGGCGGAUUAGUAGUUAAGUGGAUGGCCACUAGCGAAUCCCCGCUGUUGUAUUU
rnacentral:rRNA from 1 species